UUAGCACCAGACCUCCCACAUCCCCUUUCCUGAAAUAGCUGAACUGGUGAAAAGGAUUAAGAGCGCCAGCAGGUUAGCGUGCGCAUGCGCAUUCGUCCCUGGCUUUGGGCAUGCGCAUUCGUCCCUGGCUUUGGGCAUGCGCAGUGUUCAUCCCGGCUUUGUUCAAUUCCUUGCCUAGCCCCACAUCAAGUCUGCCUCACCUGCUGUGUCUCCCUCUGUAUUUUCCCUUUACAGCACUUAUCAUUGAUUAUCCACAGCAGGUGUUCAAUCUUGGUCUCCCUGUGGGUAAAUCCGAGGUAGCCAGACACCAUUUCCGUCGGACUCACCAGUGUGUGCCCCGAGCUUGGCAUGAUGCCUGACACACAAAUCAAUUCGGUUAAUGUUUGAAUUUGUGGAUGGACUUAAAAAUAACAUUAUUAAAAAACAGUUAAGAUCCAGUCAGCUCUUGAGAAAACCUGCUUAAAUGCAGAUGUAUGUGAAGGGUUUAUUACUGUGUGAUUUACCCACUUGGAGUCAGAGUCCCCUGCUCCCCACCCCCACCCCCUCUCUGUUCUUCCCCAUUGCCACACAGGGAGGAGAAAUCCCUGCUAGAAAACGGCUCUCAGGGGAGGGAGAGCAAGUGGGUGCUCUCACGGGCCGUGGAGGCCCCCCAGAGGGGUGGCUGUGCUCCAGACAUAGGGCAGGAGGACGCUACGCGGAAGGCAGCCCCCUGAAGGGACAGAGCCCUUUGCAAAUGGAAAAGCGGGAAACACGAGUACGGAAGCCACAGCGCGGCCGGCGUCCUCUGCCCCGCACCGCUUCUCCGAGGGUGGACGAGUCGGAUUUUAUCACCGUGGGGUUUUCCAUAACACCUCCCCAACUGGAAGGAAACUCUGUGACGAGCUCGAAAAUGGAGCUUCCUGGACUUCCCAUUUUCAUCUCUCUGCUUAAGCACACAGCUCCUAGGACUGUUCUGGCAGAAAAAUAAGCAGAAGCUCAAUAAACAUUUGUGCAACAAAUGAAUCUUGCUGUGGGGACACCACAUUAAGGAAGAACACUUAGAAAGUCAUUACAUUUGAUCGAUUUCAAAUUCAGUGAAAGUUCAAAGAAGAGAAAGAUCAACAUGAACUCGAAGGUGUAUUGAAGGAGUUAAGGAUGUUACAAGGCUUCGCUUGGAAACAGGAAAUCUAAAUAAAGAUUCUUCAACAUCACUUCAGCAUCCUAAUAGC